rnacentral:rRNA from 1 species
UACGAAGGGGGCUAGCGUUGCUCGGAAUGACUGGGCGUAAAGGGCGCGUAGGCGGCUUGCACCGUCAGAUGUGAAAUUCCUGGGCUUAACCUGGGGGCUGCAUUUGAUACGUGUGGGCUUGAGUGCGGAAGAGGGUCGUGGAAUUCCCAGUGUAGAGGUGAAAUUCGUAGAUAUUGGGAAGAACACCGGUGGCGAAGGCGGCAUCCUGGACCGGCAUUGACGCUGAGGCGCGAAAGCUAGGGGAGCAAACGGG